AAUCUACAGCUGUUGAUGAGAGACUGAAAAGUUCUGACCCCUUUGGGGGCUUUAUACAUCAUAUUGGGGUGGACCAAAGUUCCACUUCAUGCUGUUGGAAGUUAGAGCAAGACUUUUUCCUUAUCUUUCAACACCAGUUAUCCUGAGACAAGAGGAAGGAUGUAUCUGUCUAACAUCCAUUUCUCCCAACAUAUAGAUAUAUUUGUUUAUGAUGCAGCAGUAAACUGCACUGGCUUGUGGAGCUAAUGUCAGGAAAGUUCUAGCCUGAAGUGGAAAUGCUAGUAUUUAUGGAGUUUUGUCAGUGUAGCUGUGUUUGUGUGUGGAAAAUACCACCACCUCCCACAACUCCCGUAGCUGAGCCUACAUUACCCCCACAGCAUGUGCAGCUAUUUCAUCAGAAGAUUCUUCUGGCUAAUAACUGGGAGGUGGUGUCACUGUAACUGCAAACAGUGUUGGCUUAUGCCAGGGUUAACUGAUUGUUUGGGCAUGCUCUAAAUUUCUUGGUCAAGGGGCAGACCCUGGUGAAAUACUCUUCAUACUGCACUAGCUAGUAAAAAGACUGCACAGUCUGCUCAAAAGAGCUGACAGUCCAGUUUUGACCUGCGAUCUGCCUAUUGACUAUCCCUGACCUAUGCUAUGUCUACAGUGAACAGGGAUUUUGCUGGUACAGCUUUUGGGGCAGAGCCUAUCUCAUAUAGGCCACACCUAAUACAUAUAGGUCUUCAGCUAUACAGAUGUUUCACCAUUAUUGGGGUUCUUAGCACCUGUUAUGUAUGUAGACAGGCUGUUAAAAAUUCUACUUCAAAAUGUAGAAAAGUCUGGAUUUUAAAACUCUGGUUCUGGUUUUAAUGUGUGGCUGAGAUUUGUAGGGAUGCCCUCAAUGCUGGAUCUUCCCUGAGUUUGAGCAUUUUUCAUACUGAAGUAGAUUUUAUCUCCCCCUGCAUUUGAGACUCCAUGGCCAUCUCCAUCUGGAGUAAUUCCAAUUUUGAGACAUCCUCUCUCUCCCCACCAAGGCUCAUCCAGAAUAUCACUCUCCCAAUUUCUGAUACACGUGCAUGCACACAAGCUCCUUCCCUCUGAGGUAUCAAUCCCUACUAUCUGUUAAGCAUUUAAGUGGUUUCAUUCAUCAUAAGCUACUUCCUAGCACAGAAAACAAAUUCUGAAGCAUGUUAAUUUGUUGGAAUUCCAGGAAAUAUCCUACAUUCCAAUGAGCACACAACUAUGGAUCAUAUUCAAAGAUACUCAAGCAGUAGCAAAUAGGAUACAUUUUGGUAUUUCAGAAAAAUGUCAAAUGGCUGCACAAUCACAGCAUUGUAUGCAAUGACUGGGGCAGCUCAGACCUUUGAGCUGUUGUUUUAGGUUGUUCAUGGACUCAGAUGAAUAAGUUUACAUUUGUUUGAAAGAAACGCCAUCUGCUCAAGAAACUCCUUACUAUAGCACAGGAACAAAUUACACGGACACAUCCCUGGAGCCCCGACCACAGGUAUUCUAUCUGCUACCCAAGAUCCAUAAACCUAGAAACCCUGGAUGCCCCAUCAUCUCAGGCAUUGGCACUCUUACAGCAGGAUUAUAUGGCUAUUUGGAUUCUCCUCAGGGCCUACACUACCAGCGCUCCUAGUUAUCUUUGAGACACCACCGACUUCCUGAGGAAACUACAAUGCAUUGGUGAUCUUCCUGAAAACACUCCUGACCAUCAAGGAUGUAGAAGCUCUUUACACCAAUAUUCCACAUGAGGAUGGACUACAAGCUGUCAAGAACAGUAUCCCUGAUGAGGCCAUGGCACAUGUAGUGGCUGAGCUUUGUGCCUUUGUUCACCCACAACCAUUUCAGAUUUAGGGACAACUUACACCUUCAAGUCAGCAGCACUGCUAUGGGUACCCGCAUGACCCCAAAGUAUGCCAACAUUUUUAUGGCUGACAGAAAAAUACAUCCUCAGCUCUCGUCCCCUCGCGCCCCUCCUCUACUUGUGCUACAUUGAUGACAUCUUCAUGUGGACCCAUAUGGGAGGCAGACCAGUCCUUGCUUGCAGACAGCCCCCCAACCUGAAGCAGAUACUAGCAACUACACACCACACCACAGAAACACUAACACAGUAACCAGUCCCUGUAACAAACCUCUUGCCUACUCUGUCCCCAUUAUCUACUCUAGCGACACCAUCAGAGGACCCCAACCACUUUAGCCACACCAUCAAGGACUCAUUCACCUGCAUAUCUACUAAUGUGAUAUAUGCCAUCAUGUGCAAGCAAUGCACCUCUGCCAUGUACAUUGGCCAGACCGGACAGAUUCUACAUAAAAGAAUAAAUGGACACAAAUCGGACAUCGGGAAUAGUAACAUACAAAAGCCAGUGGGAGAACAUUUAAUCGCCCUGGACGUUCUAUAACAGAUUAAAAGUAGCCAUACAUGAACAAAAAAACCUUCAAAAACAGACUUCAAAGGGAAACUGAAGAACUAAUGUUCAUUUGCAAAUUUAACACCAUUAAUUUGGGCUUCAAUAGAGACUGGGAGUGGCUGGCUCACUACAAAAGCAACUUUCCCUCUCCUGGCAUUGACACCUCAUCAAUUACUGGGAGUGGACCACAUCCACCCUGAUUGAAUUGUCCCUGUCAACACUGGUUCUCCACUUGUUAGGUAACUCCCUUCUCUUCAUGUGUCAAUAUAAUAAUGCCUGCAUCUGUAAUUUUCACUCCAUGCAUCUGAAGAAGUGGGGUUUUUUACCCACAAAAGCUUAUGCCUAACUGAAUCUGUUAGUCUUUAAGGUGCCACUGGAUGCCUCAUUAUCUUUCUAACACUAAGGCAGAGGUGGGGAACCUACAGCCCGCAGGCCAGACCCAGCCUGUUGCUUAAUUUCAUCUGGCCUUCAGUAAGUAUUUCUAAAAAUAUAGACUUAUGACAGUAGACUAUGAGGGGUGGAGACAGUGGAGGGGAUGAGGAGGGAGGGAGGUGAGCUGCAGGCAGUGUCUGUAACAGCAACACAGGCAAGGCAGAGCCUCCAGCCACACUAGUGUGUUAUGACUUCACAACAGACAGUGCUGGAGCCUGGAAGCGAGUUCCUCGGCCCCCGUGUGCUUCUAGCGUGGAGCAGCCAGUAGCGUCCCCAAGCUGCGUGCACACACAUGCCUAUGGUGGUGGUCAGGUUGUCAGAGAUGUAAGAAAAACUGCUAUCUGACUUAAUUUGCAACCUCAGCCGUCACACAAAAAAAAUGGGUGAGUUGAACGUUUUAUAUUUCUCACCAAAAAACUAAGCUGCUUUUUCUUGUGUGUGUGGCUUGCGAUUCAUUUUUUCCUGUGGGUCAGUGGCCUUGGUAGAAAAAAGGUUCCACACCCCUGCCAUAAUGGGUAAAAAUUUCCUUUGUUAAAGAAAAAAGAGAUGAGAUUGAGUACAACUCCACAGUCAGUUCUGUAGUUGCGAAUACAAAGAUGCUGGCAGUCAACCUACUAUGUUCAAAUUUAUAUUAUGCAAGAGAUCCUAAAAUGGUAGUGGAUAACAGCUGAACUCAUUGCCCUCUGUGCUUCAGAAACAGGACACAUCCAUCCCAACCUCUUGUGGAACUUCGCUUGCUGGAGAAGGUGCUUGACUAGAAGAGCUUGAAAAUCCACUUGUUUAUUCCUGCCCACUCAGCCUGUUAGGUGGCUGCACAUAUCCCUGCAGCACAAUCAUCUUCCUCUCCAGUCUUCUGCCCUGCAAAGAUAUGAGGCAGUCAGUCUGUACUAGCAACCCUGGUACAUGGCGUUUAGGAGGGAAAGCAAAGACAAAUGUAGAUAAAAAGUAAAAUUGAGAUUAUGAAUACAGGAAGAAAAAAAGGUGGGAUUAUUUCAUCUUUAACCAUAGAUCACUGUACAGGAAUUACAGCAAUACACAAGACAACUGUAUUGCUAAAUUACAACAUAUCUGAUUAGGUUCAGAUUUAUUAUUCACAAAGCAAACCACUGUUCAGCCCUUAUGCUCGUUUGUCUUAGUAUUUCCUCAUUUCUCAUAGACCUUUUGUCCAUUAAGGAUUGAGUCUUUUAAGAUAUACAAAUCUUGUGCAUUCAAUCUCACUGACUAGCCUAGAAAAUAUAGCUUAACCUCCAUUGAUCCUUUCAAAGACUGCCACUUCUAUGCGUGAGCAUGUGCUCUCUCUCUCUCAGAGCACUAUCUGUUAUCACAUUAAUGAACAUUUCACCACAGUUAUUUUCUCUGCGUGGCUGGAAUGCCGUUUGGAAAAUCAAAAUUCAUAGACAAUACAGGCCUCUUGUUGCAGUGGCAAAGGAGCUGUUGUCGAGCUGAUUACUUCUGUAGGUCUCAGUCUCUGUCAUCAUGUAGACUGCUGUAAUCUAUGCUGGCUGGCCAUGAUUCCCAAAGGGACCAUAUGCCAACUGGAGAAAGCCAGAGCCAGCUGGGGAUAGGAGCUGGCAAUGCCCAUUGGGGAAAGGAAGGCAGUCUCUGCCCGCUUUGCACUGCCUGAUCACUAAAAUAGGCCAGAGGGUCUUACCCAACAUCCAAUAUACCACUAUACCAGAUAAAAUUCAUGUCAGAGAGCAAGACUAGGACCAAUCAUAAUACAUAAUAAAGAAAUCAGUGAUAAUUAAUCCCUAGCCACAAAAGUGACACAACCACAGGAGAUCUCUUGUGCAGUCCAUAAUUGUUUCACAUAGUAGUUGUACACAUUGGGAGUGAUGGGGUCACCUCUUCCUGUGACAAACUCCCUGGAGGAGACAUUGGUGGAGAAGGUAAGAACCUUGCAGUUUCCCAUUGAUUGUCUCACCAGGAUGAUGGGUUCGGCUUCAUUGUCCACCAAAAUAGGCAAUGUUCAGCACCCAAACCCUUGUGGAUCUCAGAGAUCUGCUGGAGAUGCAGGAGCCAUUAGGCCUUCUACACAGUUCUUCCAGCUCACUGGCAGCAUAGCCUCAAUGAAGCCAGGGCUUCUCUGCCAUUGCACCUCUACCCUGACAUUGCAGGGGAAGCUCUAUACAAAAGCUAGAGCCCCCUCAGUCUGUAUUAGUUUCUUAGUGGAUUUUCUGCAGUGGAUGGAAUGAUGAACUGAGCCUCAGACUCACGCUGGGUCCUUCACCAGGGUGCGGGGCUGAAAACGUCGGUGCUAAGCCUAUCUGCACAAUAAGGCAAGAUCUGUAUGCACAGGAUCCGCACUGCAUGUGGGUCCCAAAGGAAUCUGUUGCUCUUGGAGGGGUCCAGAUUCUCAACAGGCAUAAUUUGAUGUUGUUUCACAGAAGCCAAUGAAGCUAUAUUGAGGAUCUGGCACUAGGACUUCAUUAGGAGGUUUCUGUUGGAAGCAAGUUUACCUGUUGUGUGUCAGAGUCCUGUGAUAUAAAUAUUCAGCUGUCGUGUUUUUGUUUUCUUUGAAUACUGAAGUCCUUGUCAUCUUCCGAAUCACUCUGUGACUGGAUUAGGCUCAUUAAAUCUUUACAAAAAUGGG